rnacentral:rRNA from 1 species
UACGAAGGGUGCAAGCGUUACUCGGAAUUACUGGGCGUAAAGCGUGCGCAGGCGGUUUUGUAAGUCAGAUGUGAAAGCCCCGGGCUCAACCUGGGAACUGCGUUUGAAACUGCAAGGCUAGAGUGUAGCAGAGGGGGGUAGAAUUCCACGUGUAGCAGUGAAAUGCGUAGAGAUGUGGAGGAAUACCAAUGGCGAAGGCAGCCCCCUGGGUUAACACUGACGCUCAUGCACGAAAGCGUGGGGAGCAAACAGGG